rnacentral:rRNA from 1 species
UACGGAGGGAGCUAGCGUUGUUCGGAAUUACUGGGCGUAAAGCGCACGUAGGCGGCUUUGUAAGUUUAGAGGUGAAAGCCCGGAGCUCAACUCCGGAAUUGCCUUUAAGACUGCAUCGCUUGAAUCCAGGAGAGGUGAGUGGAAUUCCGAGUGUAGAGGUGAAAUUCGUAGAUAUUCGGAAGAACACCAGUGGCGAAGGCGGCUCACUGGACUGGUAUUGACGGCUGAGGUGGCGAAAGCGUGGGGAGCCAAACAGG